rnacentral:rRNA from 1 species
CACGUAGGCACCAAGCGUUAUCCGGAUUUAUUGGGCGUAAAGAGAUCGUAGGCGGUUCGGUAAGUCGGGUGUGAAAACUCUGGGCUCAACCCAGAGAGGCCACCCGAUACUGCUGUGACUAGAGUGCGGUAGGGGAGCGGGGAAUUCCUGGUGUAGCGGUGAAAUGCGCAGAUAUCAGGAGGAACACCAGCGGCGAAGGCGCCGCUCUGGGCCGUAACUGACGCUGAGGAGCGAAAGCAUGGGGAGCGAACAGG